rnacentral:rRNA from 1 species
UACGUAAGUGGCGAGCGUUAUCCGGAAUUACUGGGCGUAAAGCGUGCGUAGGCGGUUUAGUGUGUGGGAAUUGAAAGCCCGGGGCUCAACUCCGGAUCCGGUUCCCAAACUGCUAGACUCGAGAGUAUCAGAGGAGAGCGGAAUUCCCGGUGUAGCGGUAAUAUGCGUAGAUAUCAGGAAGAACACCAAUGGCGAAAGCAGCUCUCUGGGACGGUACUGACGCUGAGACGCGAAAGCGUGGGGAGCGAACAGG